rnacentral:lncRNA from 1 species
CAGAUCAACCCAGGGCGGAGAGUGGUCACGAACACUUCCGGACACGUGGCAUCCCUCCAUUGGCAGUGGCGCAAUCCAAAUGGAGGCCUCAAGUGAUUCACGCGGCCACAUGGCGUGCACACACUGGCCGCCAACUUAUCCAGUCAGAUAAGGCCGCGGCGGCAAGCGACGCCACCACGUCCGUCUCAUAUAUUUUUUGCCACGCUGCCACUGGAGCCCGAGACUGCUCCACCGAAAAAGCUCCCUCCUGACUGCUCCACCGAAGAAGCGUGGAAGCGAAGCCAAGGCAGCUGAGAUGGCACAAGCCAUGGCGUCCAUGACCGGCCUCUCGCAGGGCGUGCUGCCCAGCAGGCGCGCCGCCAGCAGGGCUAGGACGGCCGUCGUCAGGGCGUCCGCCGACGGCGAGGCCGGCCGCCGCGCCGUGCUCGGGCUGGUGGCCACCGGCAUCGUCGGCAGCGUCUUCUCCCAGGCGGCGCACGCCGAGGCCGUCAAGACCAUCAAGAUCGGCCCCCCGCCGCCGCCCUCCGGUGGACUUCGUGAGUGCCUGCCUUGCCUGCACCUCAGAAUUGAUGUGUAGCUUCAAUUCCAUAAACUUGCGUCCGCAUCUUCUAGGUACCAUAUAGUAUAAGAUUAUAAGAUUUUGAUUAUUUUUUCAAGAUCUGUAUUUCCUCAAAAAAAAAAAGGCAUCAACCUCUGCAUUUCUUGAACAAAUUAAAAAUGGUGUCGACCCUUAACGAUCAUUGAUAGUAAAGCAUAGCCACUGAUCCAGAGUGAAAAAACCAGAUGUACAAGCAGAUUAUUUUGUGCAAAAUUAGCGCUAUAACUCUCGGAGCACCGCGUGAUUGUGGAACAAAUCCGUCUAACGCAUCUGCUUCUAAUUUACCAUGGCGCAGCCGGGACCUUGAACUCUGACCAGGCCAGGGACUUCGACCUCGCCUUGAAGGAGCGGUUCUACCUGCAGCCGCUGCCGCCGGCGGAAGCCGCGGCGAGGGCCAAGUCGUCGGCGCAGGACAUCCUCAACCUCAAGCCGCUCAUCGACAAGAAGGCGUGGCCGUACGUCAUGAACGACCUCCGCCUCCGAGCCUCCUACCUGCGCUACGACCUCAACACCGUCAUCGCCUCCAAACCCAAGGAUGAGAAGAAGAGCCUCAAGGAGCUCACCGGCAAGCUCUUCAGCACCAUCGACGAUGUAAGCCAUGCUGCCAUUGAACUGAGAACAAUUGGCCAAUAACUUUUUUUCUCACUUUUUCACCAUAGCUAUGGAAAUAACAUGUAAGCUUCUCUUCUCAUUUUGGCAGCUUGACCAUGCGGCAAAGAUCAAGAGCACCCCGGAGGCUGAGAAAUCCUUCGCGGCGACCAAAUCCGCGCUCGAUGAUGUUUUCGCCAAGCUAGGCUAGAUGGAAUAUGAUGGGCUGAUGGCCAUGUAAUUUCAGACUUUUGUGUUUGUUCAUAUGGAGCCGGCAAUGU